rnacentral:rRNA from 1 species
CAAGCCUGAUCCAGCCAUGCCGCGUGUGUGAAGAAGGCCUUCGGGUUAGUAAAGCACUUUUGUCCGGAAAGAAAAGCACUCGGUUAAUACCCGGUUGUCAUGACGGUACCCGAAGAAUAAGCACCGGCUAACUUCGUGCCAGCAGCCGCGGUAAUACGAAGGGUGCAAGCGUUACUCGGAAUUACUGGGCGUAAAGCGUGCGUAGGUGGUUUGUUAAGUCUGAUGUGAAAGCCCUGGGCUCAACCUGGGAACUGCAUUGGAUACUGGCAA